rnacentral:rRNA from 1 species
UACGUAGGGGGCAAGCGUUGUCCGGAUUUAUUGGGCGUAAAGAGCGUGUAGGCGGCCUGACAGGUCUGCUGUGAAAACUCGAGGCUCAACCUCGAGAUGUCGGCGGAAACCGUCUGGACUAGAGUCCGGAAGAGGAGAGUGGAAUUCCGUGGUGUAGCGGUGAAAUGCGCAGAAUAUCAGGAAGACACCUAUGGCGAAGGCAGCUCUCUGGGGACGGUACUGACGCUGAGACGCGAAAGCGUGGGGAGCGAACAGG